UGACCCUUGAGCGCGGAAGACGACCAGUCAGACUGAAUGCUGCCAUGCCAACCCCUUAUGCGUAGAAUUACAGACGGACGUUUCUAAUGAAAGGAGCAACAAGACUUGGAUGGAAAAAUAACGGUCGAAGAAAACUUACAUCGGCCCACCGAUUGACUGUCGGACAACGUUGCCAAACUUCUCAGCAUGGCUUGUAAUUAUGGACGGCUGUGGUCCUAUACACUGUGUCCAAGAUAAGGAUUUCAGAAGCCAUAGAAGAUACGUCGGUAGUCAAUUAAAGAAUUAUUAUUAUUCUUUAAAGAAAGCCAGGAAAUCCCAUUGCUUCCGAAGAUAUGCCAGAAAAACCGAAAUUUGCGAUUUCGUCUUUAUUUUUUUUUGUUAUUUGAGAUACAAAAAAUUAAACAUUUUCUCAUUGCCACUUUUAGAACUCUACAAGACAGUGUUGAGAGAGCGUAUUGACUAUUGAGUAGCAUUUUUUAUUACGAAUACAACGAUUUUUGGCACACAAAAAAACAAAAGUUGAAAACUUCUAGAUAAAAUCCGGUUUUACCAAUUUUGCAAUUGUACCUACCAAGCAGCGACGAAGAAACGCCGAAACAACGAUGACAAUGCGCGACGCCGUGCGGCCCAUCCCACACGAAUUCCCGCCGGAAAAGUGACACUUCAACGCUGCCAUUUUAGAUAGUGUAUAUGGUUGGUUGCCUAAGUGUUGCAACAAGCCCAGGAAAAUGCUCUGGUAAAUUGGCCUCCGAGCUAUGUGACAAAUCCACGACAUUCGCCAUCGGAAAAUUUGUUCUUGAAAGACUAAUGCCGGGUAGUUUUCAACACAAAUAAUUUAUAAAGCCAUCUACAAGUUUCUGUAAUUCUUUAAGUAUGGGAUAAUAAAAAUUGAUUUUCACCCCUACCUUUGAUCACCGGCCCCUGGUCAAUAUAAUACAAAGUAUAAAGCUACGUACUGACUACCCUGAGCCUGUCGUUCGCAUUAUUGUGGAUACUCACUUGACACUCAUCGAUCUUUGAAUUAAGGCCACAUCUUUGAACUUGGUACACAAUGUUGAAACGCACUUCCGCGUUCGCACAUGGUUCGUACACACUUUGCGGAUAAAUACAGGCGCGGAAUGAAGAAAGAAUUAAAUCUGAAGAGGAGAAAAAAGAAAGAAAC